AGUGGUUAGGAUUCGGCGCUCUCACC
rnacentral:piRNA from 7 species